GUGGGGAAUAUUGGACAAUGGGGGAAACCCUGAUCCAGCAAUGCCGCGUGAGUGAUGAAGGCCUUCGGGUUGUAAAGCUCUUUUAUCAGGGAAGAUAAUGACGGUACCUGAUGAAUAAGCUCCGGCUAACUUCGUGCCAGCAGCCGCGGUAAUACGAAGGGAGCUAGCGUUGUUCGGAAUUACUGGGCGUAAAGGGCGCGUAGGCGGCCUUGUAAGUUAGAUGUGAAAGCCCCGGGCUUAACCUGGGAACUGCAUUUAAGACUGCAAAGCUAGAGGACGAGAGAGGAAAGUGGAAUUAUGAGUGUAGAGGUGAAAUUCGUAGAUAUUCAUAAGAACACCAGUGGCGAAGGCGACUUUCUGGACUGAUACUGACACUGAGGUGCGAAAGCGUGGGGAGCAAACAGGAUUAGAAACCCCUGUAGUCC
rnacentral:rRNA from 1 species